UGGUACUUCUCCAUGUCUGGAAUUCAUUCUUAUACAUACUAAAACAAGCCAGAGGAGAGAAAGAAUAAAGAGGUGGAGAGUUUGGCCCCAGGACAUUGUUUAGGUGAUGGAACUUACCGGCAAGUGAACAGAGAGAAAUUUCAGAAUGCCUGAAUAAAGAACACCCAUGGAGGCAAACGGGAGUUGACACCAGUUUCCACCAGAACCUUCUAUGGAUGUACAGUUCUGCUGACCCGGAUUCGGUGACUCUUACUAACUUCAAAGACUGCUCAUUCCAAGGAAAUUCAGAGGAGCAGGAAACAGGAGAGAGCACUGCUCCAGCAUAAUUGAGCCUCAGAAAAGCAGUGCAUCCUGAAAAUACAGUCUAAAAAAAAAAAAAAUCCAAAAGACUAAAACUUAAAGAAAAGUGCAUCUCCCUCACUUGAGUGGACCUACACAAUGAAAGACCACGAGAUCCACGAAGCACAGACCACCACCGUUACACAGAAUCAUUCCGAACUGCUCCUCCUAGAGUGAAGAAGUUUCCGGAAUAGCAGUUCCCACGGAGUUUCUGCCAGAGAAUGAAG